CAAAGGUAGCAUAAUCAUUAGGGGCUUAAUUGGAACCUAGUAUGAAUGGUCGGACAAAGAAAAAACUGUCUUUGCAAGUUAAAUCGAAGUUUACUUUUAAGUGAAAAGGCUUAAAUAAAUCAAAGGGACGAUAAGACCCUAUAAAUCUUUAUAAAUAAUUUAGAUUCGAUUAAUUUAAAAUUAUAAAAACUGAGUAUAAUUAUUUUAUUUUGUUGGGGUGAUGAGAGUAUAAUUAUUAUUAACUGCUUAAAAGAAAGUCUUAGAUGAAAGAAUAAAUAUAAAUGAUCCUUUUUAGAGAUUAAAAGACCAAGUUACUUUAGGGAUAACAGCGUUAUUUUUUUUGAGAGUUCAUAUCGAAAAAGAAGAUUGCGACCUCGAUGUUGAAUUAAGAUAUCUAUAUAACGUAGCCGUUAUAAAAGAGGGUCUGUUCGACCUUUAAAUU
rnacentral:rRNA from 1 species